UGAUUAUGGCUCAGGACGAACGCUGGCGGCGCGCCUAACACAUGCAAGUCGAACGAGAGAUGAGGAGCUUGCUCUUCAAAUCGAGUGGCGAACGGGUGAGUAACGCGUGAGGAACCUGCCUCAAAGAGGGGGACAACAGUUGGAAACGACUGCUAAUACCGCAUAAGCCCACGGCUCGGCAUCGAGCAGAGGGAAAAGGAGCAAUCCGCUUUGAGAUGGCCUCGCGUCCGAUUAGCUGGUUGGCGAGGUAACGGCCCACCAAGGCAACGAUCGGUAGCCGGACUGAGAGGUUGAACGGCCACAUUGGGACUGAGACACGGCCCAGACUCCUACGGGAGGCAGCAGUGGGGAAUAUUGCACAAUGGGGGAAACCCUGAUGCAGCGACGCCGCGUGGAGGAAGAAGGUCUUCGGAUUGUAAACUCCUGUUGUUGAGGAAGAUAAUGACGGUACUCAACAAGGAAGUGACGGCUAACUACGUGCCAGCAGCCGCGGUAAAACGUAGGUCACAAGCGUUGUCCGGAAUUACUGGGUGUAAAGGGAGCGCAGGCGGGAGAACAAGUUGGAAGUGAAAUCCAUGGGCUCAACCCAUGAACUGCUUUCAAAACUGUUUUUCUUGAGUAGUGCAGAGGUAGGCGGAAUUCCCGGUGUAGCGGUGGAAUGCGUAGAUAUCGGGAGGAACACCAGUGGCGAAGGCGGCCUACUGGGCACCAACUGACGCUGAGGCUCGAAAGUGUGGGUAGCAAACAGGAUUAGAUACCCUGGUAGUCCACACCGUAAACGAUGACUACUAGGUGUUGGAGGAUUGACCCCUUCAGUGCCGCAGUUAACACAAUAAGUAAUCCACCUGGGGAGUACGACCGCAAGGUUGCAACUCAAAGGAAUUGACGG
rnacentral:rRNA from 1 species